rnacentral:rRNA from 1 species
AUUGAACGCUAGCGGGAUGCCUUACACAUGCAAGUCGAACGGAGUGGCGAACGGGAGAGUAAGGAAUCGGAACGUGCCCUGUAGAUGGGGAUAACUACGCGAAAGCGUAGCUAAUCCCGCAUACUAUUGGCGCGCCCUAAAUCGGAUUAGCUAGUUGGUGGGGUAACGGCGCACCAAGGCGACGAACCUUAGCUGGGUUGAGAGGCCGACCAGCCACACUGGGACUGAGACACGGCCCAGACUCCUACGGGAGGCAGCAGUGGGGAAUUUUGGACAAUGGGGGAAACCCUGAGCCAGCCAUCCCGCGUGUGCGAUGAAGGCCUUCGGGUUGUAAAGCACUUUUGGCAGGAAAGCGGUACCUGCAGAAUAAGCACCGGCUAACUACGUGCCAGCAGCCGCGGUAAUUC